CUUUCAGAGCCAAACAGCUGUGCUCCGCCUCUGUUCCCCGGGCACCUGCCAGCCUCCUUCCCUGCUGGAGUGCUUCCCUGCAGCGGCACUGGAGAAUGUCACUAGCCAGACCAAGGCACAGAAGGCACAUCACAGAAAAAUCUUGUCACAAUGCCUUCCCACACACUUGUGAAAGUGACAGGCAUUUGUAAAUAAUUUACAAGAGGAUAAAUUCCUUAUUGAAAUUGAGGACCGUGAUAUCUCUGCUCUCAGGAGCAGUAGCUGCGCCCAGCGAUGAGAAGAUCAGAAAUCAGCCCGGACAAGGCUGAGUGAAAAGCCUGAGUCACACGAGCAAGCUCAGACAAACCAGUCCUGUCGUCGGGACUUAACUGCCUCUGUAUCGUGAAAGCAAACCAAGCCUGGAGGGGUGGGGGCGGAGGAAAAUGAAGAGCAAAUGUCCUGUCUGACCCGGGAGAGCAGCAGGAAGGCGUUUGAAGAGAAGCCACACUUGCAUUUCUCCGAAGGAACUUCACCAGUCCGCUGGUGAGACGCCACUUUUGUAGAAAAUUAUGUAUGAACAUUGAAGAUUAGGAAGCAUUGAAUGUAUAGAUUGGUUUCUGGUCUAUGCGCUCUAAGCUGUAUCCCUAGACCCAGAAUUCUUAGCAAAGAUUUCCCAGGGUGUAGGACUGUGAGCCUAUUUUGUUUACUAUUGUCUAUUUCUAGUAACUCUUUUCACCCUUUAAGGCAGGGAAAAGGCUCAGAACCCACUUUAUAGCACAGACUGGCUUUGAAUGUACUAUGCAGCCAGGUACUGGCCUUACACUCACAGUAAUCCUCCGGCCUCUGUUUCCUAAGUUCUAGAAUUCCAGGUAAGCCCCUAUGCCAGGCUUAAGUUAGUGCCAUGAAAACUACAGAUUUACCAAUUUUUUCCCUUUUGCCUGUAAACUUCUAAAAUAAUUAAAAUUGUAUACAUAUUUUAUUUAUGUCAACACUGGAGCACCUGCUAUAAAUAAAAACUCAAAUAAUC